AAGUCGUAACAAGGUUUCCGUAGGUGAACCUGCGGAAGGAUCAUUAACACAAUACUUUCUAUUAUCAAUAACCUUUGUGCACUGUCGGAGCCUUUUUUAACGGGAGUCGUCUAGAUCAUGGUUGGAAUGCGGUCUAGCCUGCUGUCAAGUUUUCCCGUCAUUCAUUCUCCCUCUUCUCGUUUCUGAUUGCCAAAACGGUCUAAACGCAGAAUGAAAGAAUGUUUAGGCGAUCGGUUUAACGUCCCGUUUUCUUAGGUGAAACGGCCUCAACCAUGGCUGUGCCCAAUACUUUUUUUUUAACCUCUUGAAUUAUUGUACUGAUUUGGGCUGUUCGAUUGAGAGGAGCAAUCCUUUCUCUGCAGCUUUGUGUUGAAUGCUUGUCAUUCACUCACUAACCAAAACACAACUCUUAACAGUGGAUAUCUCGGUUCUC
rnacentral:misc_RNA from 1 species